CGAAAGAUUUAUCGGCUUAAGAUGAGCCCGCGUUGGAUUAGCUAGUUGGUGGGGUAAAGGCCUACCAAGGCGACGAUCCAUAGCUGGUCUGAGAUGAUGAUCAGCCACACUGGGACUGAGACACGGCCCAGACUCCUACGGGAGGCAGCAGUGGGGAAUAUUGGACAAUGGGCGGAAGCCUGAUCCAGCCAUGCCGCGUGAGUGAAGAAGGCCUUAGGGUUGUAAAGCUCUUUCACCGGUGAAGAUAAUGACGGUAACCGGAGAAGAAGCCCCGGCUAACUUCGUGCCAGCAGCCGCGGUAAUACGAAGGGGGCUAGCGUUGUUCGGAUUUACUGGGCGUAAAG
rnacentral:rRNA from 2 species